CUGUCCCUAGUACGAGAGGACCGGGAUGGACGAACCGCUGGUGUGCCAGUUGUACCGCCAGGUGCAUGGCUGGUUGGCUACGUUCGGGAGCGAUAACCGCUGAAAGCAUCUAAGCGGGAAGCGUGCUCUAAGAUGAGAUCUCCGUCAGCAGCAAUGCUGGUGAGGCGCCCUAAAGAUGAUGGGGUUGAUAGGCUCGACAUGGAAGAGCAGCAAUGCUUGGAGUGGACGGGUACUAACCGCCGAGAACUUAACAC
rnacentral:rRNA from 1 species